rnacentral:rRNA from 1 species
GUUAAAAAGCUCGUAGUUGGAUUUCUGUGGUAGACUGCCGGUCCACACUAUGUGUGAGUAUCUGGUACGGCUACUGCAUCCUCCUGAGGAACGUUGGUGCGCUUCACUGCGUGGCACGGUAUUCAGGACUUUUACUGUGAGGAAAUUAGAGUGUUCACGACAGGCGUUUGCCCUGAAUAUAUUAGCAUGGAAUAAUGAUAUAGGAUCCACGUCCUAUUUUGUUGGUUUCUAGGACGAGGAUAAUGAUUAAUAGGGAUAAUUGGGGGCAUUCGUAUUAACACGUCAGAGGUGGAAUUCUUGGAUUGUGUUACGACGAACUACUGCGAAAGCAUUUGCCAAGGAUGUUUUCAUUGAUCAAGAACGAAAGUAAGGGGAUCGAAGACGAUUAGAUACCGUCGUAGUCUUUACCAUAAACUAUGCCGACUAGAGAUUGGAGGUCGUUCUUUGUAUGACUCCUUCAGCACCUUAUGAGAAAUCAAAGUUUUUGGGUUCCGGGGGGAGUAUGGUCGCAAGGCUGGAACUUAAAGGAAUUGACGGAAGGGCACCACCAGGAGUGGAGCCUGCGGCUUAAUUUGACUCAACACGGGAAAACUCACCAGGUCCAGACAUAGUAAGGAUUGACAGAUUGAUAGCUCUU